GUCCCACUAUUGCUUCCUUCACCCUAGAGUUCCUACAGAAUGUUGGGCAGAAUGGGAAAUUGUGCCCUAGCUCACAGCGAUGCUACAACACACCUGUUUAAAUAGGAAUCUCUUCCCCUCCACCCCCAAAGGAAAAAAAAAAAUUAAAUCACAGUUCAUUGGCACUGUCAGAAGUAUAACUCUGUACUGUCAAGCAAUAUGACAAUUCUUUCAUUUUUUUAAAAAAAAGUCUAACAUUGCCCUGACCAGUUUGGCUCAGUGGAU